rnacentral:misc_RNA from 1 species
GAUGAAGAACGUAGCGAAAUGCGAUAAGUAGUGUGAAUUGCAGAAUUCAGUGAAUCAUCGAAUCUUUGAACGCACAUUGCGCCCCUUGGUAUUCCAUGUGGCAUGCCUGUUCGAGCGUCAUUUGUACCUUCAAGCUUUGCUUGGUGUUGGGUGUUUGUCUCGCCUUUGCGUGUAGACUCGCCUUAAAAUAAUUGGCAGCCGGCGUAUUGAUUUCGGAGCGCAGUACAUCUCGCGCUUUGCACUCAUAACGACAGCGUCCAAAAGUACAUUUUACACUCUUGACCUCGGAUCAGGUAGGGAUACCCGCUGAACUUAAGCAUAUCAAUAAGCGGAGGA